CGCUGGCGGCGUGCCUAACACAUGCAAGUCUAGGGAGAAAAGAGGUAGCAAUAUCUCGAGUAAACCGGCGCAAGGGUGAGUAACGCGUAGGCAACCUACCCUUUGGACGGGAAUAACUCAUCGAAAGGUGAACUAAUACCCGAUGAAAUCGUGAAGCAGCAUUGUUUUACGAUCAAAGGUCUCAACGCAAGUUGAGAUUCCAUUGGAUGGGCCUGCGUCCCAUUAGAUAGUUGGCGGGGUAACGGCCCACCAAGUCUGCGAUGGGUAGCUGGUCUGAGAGGAUGAUCAGCCACACUGGAACUGAGACACGGUCCAGACUCCUACGGGAGGCAGCAGUGAGGAAUAUUGCGCAAUGCCCGAAAGGGUGACGCAGCGACGCCGCGUGGAGGAUGAAGGCCCUCUGGGUCGUAAACUCCUGUUGGAGGGGAUGAAUAUCCGCCUAUAGCGGAUUGACCGUACCCUCUGAGGAAGCCACGGCUAACUACGUGCCAGCCGCCGC
rnacentral:rRNA from 1 species